GACGAACGCUGGCGGCGUGCUUAACACAUGCAAGUCGAACGGAAAGGCCCUGCUUUUGUGGGGUGCUCGAGUGGCGAACGGGUGAGUAACACGUGAGUAACCUGCCCUUGACUUUGGGAUAACUUCAGGAAACUGGGGCUAAUACCGGAUAGGAGCUCCUGCUGCAUGGUGGGGGUUGGAAAGUUUCGGCGGUUGGGGAUGGACUCGCGGCUUAUCAGCUUGUUGGUGGGGUAGUGGCUUACCAAGGCUUUGACGGGUAGCCGGCCUGAGAGGGUGACCGGCCACAUUGGGACUGAGAUACGGCCCAUACUCCUACGGGAGGCAGAAGUGGGGAAUAUUGCACAAUGGGCGGAAGCCUGAUGCAGCAACGCCGCGUGCGGGAUGACGGCCUUCGGGUUGUAAACCGCUUUCGCCUGUGACGAAGCGUGAGUGACGGUAAUGGGUAAAGAAGCACCGGCUAACUACGUG
rnacentral:rRNA from 1 species